rnacentral:rRNA from 1 species
UACGUAGGGUGCGAGCGUUAAUCGGAAUUACUGGGCGUAAAGUGUGCGCAGGCGGCCGAGCAAGUCGAGUGUGAAAGCCCCGAGCUUAACUUGGGAACUGCGCUCGAAACUACUUGGCUAGAGUGUGGCAGAGGGAGGUGGAAUUCCACGUGUAGCGGUGAAAAUGCGUAGAGAUGUGGAGGAACACCGAUGGCGAAGGCAGCCUCCUGGGCCAACACAUGACGCUCAUGCACGAAAGCGUGGGGAGCAAACAGG